UGCUACGGCCAUACCACCCUGAACGCGCCCGAUCUCGUCUGAUCUCGUCAGCUAAGCAGGGUCGGGCCUGGUUAGUACUUGGAUGGGAGAAAUGUGAACCUUGAGAGUCAGGCCUC
rnacentral:rRNA from 1 species